rnacentral:misc_RNA from 1 species
GAUGUGAAGGCAUUUGGUAAUUUCUCCUCUCAUCUGUUCUUUUUUUCAGCUUCUAGUAGGUAGGAGUUCCUUUUAGCUUUUGAAAUUGUUACCAUGAUUUUCUGAAAGUGUGUUUUUUAUUUGCGUGUCUAAAUACGUUUCAUGCUCUAAAAAUCACCUCGAAAUGAUUUGAUUCAAUGAUAUUAGGAAGGAUUUUUGGUCUGACCUAACAAGCUUGAGUUGGUUAAUGUGGUAUGGUUCAUUUGUAGAACUUAAUUUAGUUUUAAGUAGUAUUUUGGUGUUGAAUAUACUGAUUUAGGUGAUUUGGGGUUUAUAAUCGCGGUUUCGAUUGAUUUUUCCCCUUUUUAGUAUGUGAAUAUACAUUUAAGAGGAGAAAAAAGAUAACUUUUGGGUAUAGGAUGUUUGCG